rnacentral:tRNA from 1 species
GAGACAUUAGUAAACCCGAAAAUUACAACAUCUUGUCAAGAUGUAAUCGCAGGUUAAACUCCUGCAUGCCUUA